GUAAUUAAUCUGGCCCUCGGGUCGAGUGUAAUUCAGAGGAUGCUUCGGGUGCGGCCCCUGUCUAAGUGCCUGAACGGGCCGUCAGAGAGGGUAGAAUCCCGUCUUGGGCAGGGUGCCCGUGCCCGUGUGAAGCUCCUUCGACGAGUCGAGUUGUUUGGGAAUGCAGCUCUAAAUGGGUGGUAAAUUUCAUCUAAAGCUAAAUACCGGCCGGAGACCGAUAGCGCACAAGUAGAGUGAUCGAAAGAUGAAAAGCACUUUGAAAAGAGAGUUAAACAGCACGUGAAAUUGUUGAAAGGGAAGCGCUUGCGACCAGACUCGGCCUCGGGGUUCAGCCAGCAUUCGUGCUGGUGUACUUCCCCGGGGCCGGGCCAGCGUCGGUUCGGGCGGCCGGUCAAAGGCCCCAGGAAUGUAUCGUCCUCCGGGACGUCUUAUAGCCUGGGGUGCAAUGCGGCCAGCCUGGACCGAGGAACGCGCUUCGGCACGGACCGCUGGCGUAAGGUCGCAA
rnacentral:rRNA from 1 species